UAACGCAAGUCAAAUGCCAAAUAAAUCUUCCCCAUUGUUGUUUAUGGGUUUGUCAUGGACAAGAUGUCUGUCGAUGUUGAUUAUUCGCUAUCAUCCAAAGAAAAAGCCUGUGCCCACUUUAUUAAUUUCUGACUAUAUAAUCUGUGCUAAGUUGUAUAAUUUCGUGCCUCAUGCUUCCUGCACAUACUGGAUUGUGAUAUGUUUCCCCAUGUUCUCCAAUGCGUAAUUUGUGAAUAUUUUGUUGGAUUAUCUGUUUUCAUAAAUCGUCAAUAAUCUGCGAAGAUGGUAGCUGUUUAUUGGUGUCUUGAAGGCUGUUAGAAAAUGCACGGCUUCCUAUCACAAAAGGCGUAUGUUUUAAAGUUGUUCCUAAAAAUGCUCCAAAGAUUUUUUUAUCUGUAAAAAGUAUUUAUAUAAACAAUGAACAACAAGUAAUAUUUAUAUUUAUAU